rnacentral:rRNA from 1 species
GACGAACGCUGGCGGCGUGCCUAAUACAUGCAAGUCGAACGCUGAAGGAGGAGCUUGCUUCUCUGGAUGAGUUCCGAACGGGUGAGUAACGCGUAGGUAACCUGCCUGGUAGCGGCGGAUAACUCUUGGAAACGCUAGCUAAUACCCCAUAAGAGUAGAUGUUGCAUGACAUUUGCUUAAAAGGUGCAAUUGUAUCACUACCAGAUGGACCUGCGUUGCAUUAGCUAGUUGGUGGGGUAACGGCUCACCAAGGCGACGAUGCAUAGCCGACCUGAGAGGGUGAUCGGCCACACUGGAACUGAGACACGGCCCAGACUCCUACGGGAGGCAGCAGUAGGGAAUCUUCGGCAAUGGACGGAAGCCUGACCGAGCAACGCCGCGUGAGUGAAGAAGGUCUUCGGAUCGUAAAGCUCUGUUGUAAGAGAAGAACGAGUGUGAGAGUGGAAAGGUCACACUGUGACGGAAUCUUACCAGAAAGGAACGCCAAACUACGU